GAUGAAGAACUAGCAAAAUGCGAUAAGUAAUGUGAAUUGCAGAAUUCAGUGAAUCAUCGAAUCUUUGAACGCACAUUGCGCCCGCCAGUAUUCUGGCGGGCAUGCCUGUUCGAGCGUCAUUUCAACCCUCAAGCCCCCGGGUUUGGUGUUGGGGAUCGGGCUGUACUCCAGCCCGGCCCCGAAAUCUAGUGGCGGUCUCGCUGCAGCCUCCAUUGCGUAGUAGCUAACACCUCGCAACUGGAACGCGGCGCGGCCAAGCCGUUAAACCCCCAACUUCUGAAUGUUGACCUCGGAUCAGGUAGGAAUACCCGCUGAACUUAAGCAUAUCAAUAAGCGGAGGA
rnacentral:misc_RNA from 1 species